GCGGAAGGGAUCAUUAGCGAGUUCACAGCGACUCCCAACCCGUGCAUACCUUACCGCAUCUUCUGAGAGCGCCCGUUGCCUCCUGGCGGGCGGCGCGCCCUCCCUAAGCCCCUCUGCGGGGUGCGGGGGGGGCGCCCGCCCGCCGGGGGCGCGGCGCGGCCGCUCUCCCACCGAACCUUCUAUUAGUAUACCUUUACCGUCUGAGCAAAACCACUGAAUCGUUAAAACUUUCAACAACGGAUCUCUUGGUUCUGGCAUCGAUGAAGAACGCAGCGAACUGCGAUAAGUAAUGCGAAUUGCAGAAUUCAGCGAGCCAUCGAAUCUUUGAACGCACAUUGCGCCCGCCAGCAUUCUGGCGGGCAUGCCUGUCCGAGCGUCAUUUCCUCCCUCACGCAGCGCGCCUGCGUGGUGUUGGGGCGUUUCUGCGGCCAGGCCUGCGCCUAGCAGGCCUCCGCAGCCCCCGAAAGCCAGUGGCGGGCCGGCAGCGGGCUCCGAGCGCAGUAAGCAGCAGUGCCCUCGCUCUGGACGCCUCCGCCUGCGCCCUGCCCCAAAUGACCGGCAGACGCAAGUCUGCCCCUCCUUCUCAAGGUUGACCUCGGAUCAG
rnacentral:sRNA from 1 species